rnacentral:tRNA from 1 species
GUCCCUAUAGCGCAAUGGAUAGCGCGUUGGACUUCUGUUCCAAAGGUCGUGGUUUCGAAUCCCACCUAGGAUG